rnacentral:rRNA from 1 species
GUGGGGAAUUGUUCGCAAUGGGCGCAAGCCUGACGACGCAACGCCGCGUGGAGGAUGAAGGUCUUCGGAUUGUAAACUCCUGUUGAUCGGGACGAAAAGCUUCGACCUAACACGUCGGAGACUGACGGUACCGGUUGAGGAAGCCACGGCUAACUCUGUGCCAGCAGCCGCGGUAAUACAGAGGUGGCAAGCGUUGUUCGGAAUUACUGGGCGUAAAGGGCGCGUAGGCGGCCUCCUAAGUCGAACGUGAAAGCCCCAGGCUUAACCUGGGAACUGCGUUUGAUACUGGGAGGCUUGGAUUCGGGAGAGGGAUGUGGAAUUCCAGGUGUAGCGGUGAAAUGCGUAGAUAUCUGGAGGAACACCGGUGGCGAAGGCGGCAUCCUGGACCGACAUCGACGCUGAGGCGCGAAAGCUAGGGGAGCAAACGGGAUUAGAUACCCUGGUAGUCC